rnacentral:lncRNA from 1 species
GGAACAGAAGGGGAGGGAGCCACGUUGGCCGGCCGUGGGCAGCUGGGGGCUGAGGGAAGCCCAUGACGAGGCUUUGCCGGCCUUGACCACGCGAUGCUGUGAGACCUCCAGAAGUGUGCAGGCCAUACAGGGCACCAAGGCCUGGGCGUGAGAGGCAAACGUGGGGCCCCCGGGAUGACAGUGAUGAAGCGGUGGGUGUGGAUAGAGCCAUGGCCCCAGAGAGUGCCAGGAUGCUGAGGCUGAAGGGUUGGGGAAAAAGGGAGCCCGCCAGGGACAGGGAAGGGCAGCCAGAGAAGGAGAUGAGGAGCAGAGGGGUCAGGGGUCCUAGAAGGAGGGGAGCUGGGCACUGCAGACAGGGCCGUGUGACCAGGAGUAGAGCUACGUGGGACCCUGCCUUGUGGCGUGGUGGGCGAGAAGUCAGACUGCAGCGGGCUGAGGCCCGGGAGGCUGGGAAAUGGGGUGCCGCUUUUCUUUUCUUUCUUUGCACUCCUGUCUUCCCUUUCAGUCCCUGCCUCUCCCUCUCUCUUCCGUGUGACUUUGUCCUUCUCCAUCCUGCUCCUCUCUGGAGCUCUUUUUUCUGGAUCGCUUUGUCUUUUUGCUCGCUGCCCCCCUUUCCUGUCUCCCCAGGGGACCUGAGCCACUAGAUGUCCACAACCAGGCUGGGCGCCCACCUGUCUUCCAGAGCAAGUCCUCAGCCCAGCCUCCUGAGGGGGAAGCUUGAUUUCCAGUCCUGGCCAGAUCCUGCCCCAUUCUCUGGGACGCCUCAGCCCAAGGGGGACAACUUGGGGCAGAGGAAACAGGGAAUAGGCUGGCACGGGAAGGGCUGGAGUGUGGCCCGCAGGUGACACCAGGAUCAAGGUGGCCCCGGGCUCCUGUGCCAACACUGCCCAUCCCCCAAGGUGAGAACACGCUGGGGCAGGAGUUGUUGGGCUUGGGGACCUCAGUCCUCGCUGCUGCUCUGUGGCCAUCACACCUGAGGGUCAGUCCCCACCCAUCCUCCAAGUCCCCAGGCGGGGCUCUGUGAGCUGCAGCCGCAGCCCUAGCCCCUCACAGUCAGAGGGCAGAGAAAGUUCUGCUUGAGGCUUGGAUGAGUGGGCAAUUGGAUUUUUAUUUACUCCUUUCUGGUUUGGUUCAGCUCUGGGCUUAUUUGAUCUCAUUUCCGGUCCUCAAUUCCUUGCUCCCUUCCUAUUUUCUAUGCGUUUGCCUCUUCCCGUCCCUCUUCAUCUCUCCCUCUCUCCCUCAGCCUUUUCCCUCUUCAUGGACUUUGCUUCCUUCUCUUAGUUUUCUCUUCCCAUCCCUCUGCCCCUGAGCAUUGUCCCACCCCUCCACCCACGCACUCCUUUCUCCUCCUCCUUUCUCUCUCUCUCUCUCCCUGUUCUCUUCCGGUGUGGUGUCUGCUUCUGCAGGCUCUGGAUUUCCUGGUGCCUCCAUCCCAUCCUGGGGGCGGCACUCUGCCCCUGCCAGAGGCAAAGGUGGCUGCAGCUGAGGAGAAGGAGGAGGAGGGGGGAGGAGGAGGAGGAGGGGAGGGGGGAGGAGCGCACCCAGCAGUGGGCUUGCAUCACAACCAGGCUUCUGGUUCAUGUGUGGGGAGACAAACACAAAGACUCCUCUUGGCCCCAGUCUCCUGGGCUUUCUCCAGGCAACCCUGGGAUUCCGGGAGUUUUGGGGGCAGGACCUAGUAGGGGACAGGAAGUGGGGGGAUCUUGAUCUGCUCACUUGCACCAGCCCUGGGCCAAGGACCUCUUUGGACAGUUUGGCUCAAAUGUAGAAAGAAGCCAGUCUGGAUAAGAUGGCCCGUCCUCUCCUCCAAGGCUACUGCCCCUGCAUUUUGCAUCAUCUGCUGAUGUAGUCACUAAACCACACUAGGUGCCAUGCCCUUUGCUGGGCAUUUGGUGGGCAAUAUAGACCCUGUGUCUUCCCUUAUGAAUCUUAUGUCUGAGAAAGAGACAGACAUGAGCAAAAUCCAUGAAUAAGCAAAGAGCUGCAUCUGUAAGGCUAUGAAGUGGCUCCAGUCUAGUCCUGGGGACUCUGGACAGGUUGAUGGCUGAGUGGAGAUGACUUAGGGGAGUGGUAGGGCAGGGCAGGGAGAUGAACUAGCUGGCUGGUUCCGAAUGCGCAAAGGCCCUGGGGCAGGAGGAGCCCAGCAGGUUCUAAACACUGGAGGAAUCGUGAGACAGCCAGUGUGACUGCAGCUCACAGAGCAAAGGCUGGCAGGCCAGAGAGGCCAAAUGAGAGGAUUCAUUCUCUAUCCUUCCUGCUCUGGACCCCCGGGGAGGUCAUAGUCAGGUCUGCACUGGGGGAGCCCACAGUGCUGCCUGAAAGGAGGAAGUGCUGCAGGGGAUGGAGGAGCAGCAGAGAGGCUCCUGGGGUAGCCCAGGUGACUAUUCUUGGACCAGACUAAUAGGAGUGGAAGAGGUGGGGAGGGACAGGCUCAAAGGCCCUGGGGAAGAGAAUUCCUGCAGGUGUGGGGCUGGAUUGGGUGGGGUGGGGUGAGGGGCAGAGCACCCUGAGUCUGUGCAUCUCUAGUUGAUGCAAUUAGGGCACAGCUUCUGCCCGCCUCCGGGGACCAGCCUGGGGACCUGGGACCCACAGCGCCUGCCCUCAGAGCGGGGAGCUGGAAGUGUCUUUCGGCUGAAGUAGCCCUGGCUGUGGAGUUUUCGCAGGUUCCUUCAUCUCUCUGAUCCUCUUUUCCCUAAUCUGUGAAGUGGGGACCGAGAAGCCCAUCUUGCAGUUCUGGGUCCUGCUCAGUAAAGUGGAAGCUUCCAGAGACGCCCAGGUGUUGAAACGGCUUUGCAGGGGGCUUUGCAGCUGCACCGGGCUGGGCAGGUGACAGGGCCCCAUGCAGAAUCCGAAUGUCAGGGAAGACCACACCGCGCCUGGAAGCCCAACACAGCCGAGAGAGAAACAGACAAUCAAGGCAUUGAAAAAGUGGAGGAGAAGCCUGGAAAAACUGGCUGGGGCCAAUGUCUAGAGGUAUGGGACUCCGGAUUCUCAUUCUGAAGGCCACAGGGAGCCAGUAACAGCUCUUGAGCAGGGCAUGGUUUGAUCCUUUUGCCAAGGAUUUGUCACCUUGGAGACAGCAGACGGACUCAGGUAAAAAUCUGGGGCUCUGCGGGGAGGGGAAGGUGGUGGGAUUUGCAGUUCUGGGAUUGACAAGAAAACAGGACAUGAGGCCAGGUAAAUAGGUAGACCAGAUGGCCCCCUCCAAAGUUCACGUUCUGUCUCUCCUGCAAUCCAGUGUUCUAGUUUCCAGGUAGGAAUUUCGUGGCAUAGGCGGCGAAGCCACUGAGGCACAGAGAAGGCCAAUCACCGCCCCAGGUCACGCAGCUAGGGUUGAGGCCUUGGAUGUAAGAUCCCUGCUGCACUCAUUUCAAGACUCCGGGUAGCAUGGGCUCCAGCUGCCUGGCCAGGCCUGCAGAUGGGGAUGAGGGCCAGCUGAUGGGGGACAGUCUUCUGGAGCCCCUCUCUGUAGAGCCAUGUGGCCCGAGGGGGAAGGGAGCCUGGUGGGCAGGGAGGAGCUGCCACAUGGAAGGAGGCUUGAUGGGAACCAUCUGGCCUGCGCUGGGAGUGUGGGCUGCAGGAGGAGGGCGGGGCAGGAGGUGGGCAGGAGGCCAUGGUGGGCUGGGCCGGCCCGCUGGUGGAUGGCGGCCGGGGCUGGGAGCGGUGGCCCAGGAGGCCCCUGCCUUCCAGACGGCUGUAGCCCAGAUGCCUUUGCAGCCGGCCUGGCCCCGUCCAACCCGCUGACCUCAUUCCCAGCGCCUCCUCCCUCCCUCGCAGGCUCCUCGCCCUGCCUGCCACGUAGACUCGGCCACAGGGGGAAGGAGAGUGGGACCCAGGUGCCCUGAGCCCAGAGCCCUGCCAGGACCUACAGAGCUGUGGGCAGCCGCUGUGACCACUUGGGGCCUCAGUUUCCUCUCCCCAAACAUGAGGUCCGGUAAAUGAGGGGACUGGGGUGAUGGGAGAAGCCAGAUGAGAAGCAGGGGUGGAGUGAGGAGCGGGGAACCAAGGGGGCUUCCUGGACUCGUGAGAGCCUUCCCCGCCUUCUGGGCUCCCGGGUGCUGUCCUCACAUCUCAGCAUCGCACUGGCUGUCGGGUGCAGAGAGCAGCACGCUGUCCCCUGUCGGGCUCCUCAGAGCCCCCAUCCUGCCCCCCGGCCCGGCGUAUCUGCCUCCCUGCCCCCCAGGUCCUGGUGUUACUGUCCUGAGGAGCUGGGGCUGUCCCUGCCGUCUGCCCAGGCGUUCCCGGCCGGUGAGUCAUCGGGAAUGUCUGCUCUGGCUGCAGUUUCCCCCCUGGCCAGGGACCCUCUCCCUCCUCGCCGGAACUCAGAGUAGAGGGUGCUGCUCCCAGGCAGGGGCUGGGGUGGGAGGAACCCAAGCCCAAGGCUGCCCUGAGGCCCGGUCCCCCACAGGCAGGAAAGGCAGAAGGGGACUGGGGCCUCCAGAGGCCAUGUCCCCAUCACAGAUAGACAGCCUGUCCUGGUGCCUGCUUCCCAGGCAGGGACACCAAGGAAAGCAGCUCGGUGAGGCCCAGACAGAGUUUGAUGUGCUCAGGCUCCCAACACCACACUGUUCGGGGCUCAGCUUUGCAGAACUGGGAGUCUGCUCAAGCCUCUUUUGGAAGGGCCCUCCCCAGUCAGCUGGGCCUGGCAGGGAAAGCUGGAGAGGCCGCCCCUCCACGGAUGAGGCAUCCUGGCUGGGGUGCGGUGUCCACGUCCACAGGAGAGGGGGGCCCUGGAUCAGUUUUUGUUUGUUUGUUUGUUUUUGAGACAGGGUCUCACUAUGUAGCCCAUGCUGGCCUUGAAAUCACUGCGUAGUCCAGGCUGGCCUCAAUAUCACAGCAAUCAUCCUGCCUCAGCCUCCUAAGUGCUGGGAUUACAGGUGUGGAGCACCAUACCCAGCUGGAUUUGUUGUUUAGAGAGCUAGGUUCAGUGCCUGAGUCGUCUACUGACUGUGAGCAUUCACAUCCCAGUACUGUGCCUCAGUUUCCCCAUCGGUAAAACAAGGGGGCUGGACAGAAAGAGUUUCCACUCUCGGAUUAAUCUAUGAUUCUGUGUCUUCCCACUGAGACCGACCCUUGCACUCACAUACACACUCACAGAUACACUCUUCACUCCUACAUUUGGGCACAAUUUUUGUUCCCUUCUGCCUGAGGGCUCCCACACCCCCACAUUGUCACCAUUGCUUCUCCUCCUGAGGUCACAGGCAGGACAAAGGUGAGCCACAGCAGAAGCUGAGAGGUUUGUGCUCCAGAGUGUCAGACCUUCAGCUCCCUCAAGGGUCCCACCUCUGCGGUUUGGGGGUGGGAGGGGCCGGGGACGGAGCAGAGAAAGUCUCGCUUGUUCCCACCCAGCUGGGCACCUGCACAAGGGUGGCCCUCGCUUUUCCUUCCCGGACAUCACUAGCUCUCCCUUCCAAAAACUCCGGUCCCCCGGACACCCAGGGACCUCCUCCACCCUCAGGCCAUCUUUGCAGCUUGGCCUGGCUCUGGCCCCAGGCUGCACCCUUCGAGGAACUUCUGCUGAGGAGCUGCUCAGAGCUCGGAAGGACCUUCCCGAGAGGAGAGGAGGAGAGAGAGAGACACAGAGAGAGGUGGAGCCAGUUUCCUGGAGUCACAGAGCUGGGAAGUAGCUGCACUGAGAUGAAAACCCAGAAAGUCUCAUGCUUCACUCAGAGACCCAGGACGGAUGCCAAGUGGACCACCCCACCCCACUGCAGAAGUGGCUGUUUGCAGGAAUGCGCUGUCUCCUCUUGGGCUCAUGCACGGGAAGGACCACAGCAUAACGUGGCUGAAACUGACCACAGGCACUAGCCGAGUGGCCAGUCCCAGCUACCCCGCCUCUGCCUCCCGUCUGCCCAGGGGCUACUGUGAGCUGACCACACCACGACACACACAGCAUCUCAUUUAUUUCAUUAAAAAAAAACUCUCCCUCCAUUUAUUUUCCUUUUCUUUUUCUCUAUUUUUCAUUAGUGUAUAUUUGUGACAUAAGAAAUGCAUUCAUCAUGGGGAAUCGGCACCUAUACAAACUCUGGUCUUAAUCCUUUUUACUCCCUUUCUCUCCCCACUCUCCUAUCUCCACCACCCUCAGACUCCCCCUCCCCUCCUUUGCUUUGAUUUAUUGAUCCUUUGUAUUGGGUUUUUUGGUACCGGGAUCGAACUCGGGUCCUUGUGCUUGAGCAGCAGGCAACGAAACCACUAAGCUAAAUCCCAGGCCCUGUAUUGGUUUUUAAUCUCAAUUCAUUAAUUUCCAUUCUGAUCAUUACAAUCUCUUUCCUUCUAUUAGUUUCAGAGUUGGGUUGCUCUUGUCUUUCUAGGACCUUAAGAUGCAUCCUCAGAUUAUUUAUUUGGGAUCACUCUAUUAGGCCCUAACCUUCCCUCUCAGAACUGCUUUCAUUGAGUUCCACAGGUCUUGAUAUGUUGUGCUUUCAUUGUCCUUUGAUUCUAGGAACUUGUAAAUGUCUUCUGUGAUCCGUGGAUUAUUCAAUAGCAUAUUCUUUAAUCUCCCUGUAUUUGAGUAAAAUAGUUUCUGUGGCUUCUUUUCCUGUUGAUUUCUACCUUCACUCCAAUAUGGCCCCAUGGUAUGCAGGGGAUUAUUUCAGUUCUUUUGUACUUAUUUAAGCAGAUUUUGUGGCCUGAGAUAAUGUCUAUUUUGGAAAAAUCUCUGUGUACAAUGUCUCAUUUACUCUUCAGAAUGGCUCUGGGAGAUCAGCUAAUACCUCUACUUUACAAAAGGAGACCCUGUGGCCCAGAAGGGCCAAGGCAUUGCCCAAGGACUCCUUCUUAGAGCUGAGAGAACCCAGCAGCCCCAAAGCUGGAACAGCCUGUGAGUCCCCUAGUGCAGAUCCACACUGCACAUGCAUGGACCAUGCACACCCCCACCCCCUAGCGAGACCCUGCCUACCAAGUUCCACUGCAGUGCUUCAUUCCUUCUUGUGGACAGUGCCCUGAGGAAGGACAUUCUGUAAGUGAGGGGACCCUAGCCCAGCCCAGAAGCACCCUGCACAUACCACAACCCAUGAUUACGCAUGCAUGGAGCUGUUACACGACAACCAAACCACUAUAAGAGCCCCACGGUAAAAGCUAAAGGUUCUAGGUGUUUUCUGGGUGUUGGCUCCUGUUCACUGAAUGGCCUAUGCACAGUGGAUGGGGCAAUGCCUCUGUUACCCCUUCUUCCUGAGGAGCCUCCUCCCUAGCACGCUGGGGCCUGUGGGUCCUGGCUCCAGGGGUGUUUGGAAAAUACUCACCUGGUGCUUGAGUGAGGAGACAGACCCAAAGGGGAUGGGCUCUGGGGGGCAGGGCUGGGGGGCAUGAUGUCUCCCUGUGCUUUUGCAUCGCCUUUGGCUUUGUGCACCCACCUGACUGUCUAUCUCCUGCCCUUCCACGUCCCUUCCCUGGUGGUCAGCCCCUCGUGGGGACAAUGGAUUGGGGGCUUGUUUGCCCACAACCAGAGUGGACCCACAUCUGAGCAGGGCCCACUCCAGGCCUGUCAGCUCCACUGAGAACCUUUUGCACUGGGCUUCUCUCUGCCCAAGACAGGGCACCUCCUCCUGCUCCAGCCUUUCCACACUGUCCGUGGCCGCUGACAGCUACAGGUCAGCCUGGUGGCCCAGUCUGUGAGUCUAGGACGCAGCUUCCGAAGCCUGAUCUAGUUCAAUGCUUUGAUGUCUGCCCUUGCAGUGAGCCUGCCUCCUCCAGGUCCUUCUUCAGACCUGUCUCCUCUUUCCCAAGGAGUCCUUUACUUCCUGGGGCAGCUGACAAUAAGGAAACAGGAAUCUGACAGCUCAGCAUUCACAGAGAAAUCUAGGGGCAAGAGUACCAGUGGCCUGACUGCCAGCUUCCUCACAUCUGGAUCCUACCUGACUCCCAGAUUGGCCUCCUCCAGGAAGUCCUCC